GGUUGCGAUCAUACCAGCACUAAUGCACCGGAUCCCAUCAGAACUCCGCAGUUAAGCGUGCUUGGUCGAGAGUAGUACUAGGAUGGGUGACCCCCUGGGAAGUCCUCGUGUUGCAACCC
rnacentral:rRNA from 1 species